AUGGCAAAGACCUCGAUGCCAGCUGCUCUGGCCCUUGCUGACACAUCCUGCACUCCAUCCUGGGGACGUCCAUCAGUCACAACGAUCGCCACCUACACAGAGGAGAGCAGAGGCAAGGCAAGCAUCUGUAAGAAAAGCACAGUUAUCGGUUGACAACAUGUACUUCUGAGGGAGCAAGGUGAUGAGAUGCUGGCGCUGCACUUGUGGGAGCAGGUUACCCACUUGUCACCCGGUGCUACUGCGAAUGUCUGUAUAAAACUUAACAGCAGCAUGGAGGGAGGAAUAAAGUUGCGAACUGAAGCCUGGGUAUGCACAUCUGCAUCAAAGUCUCUAAAGGCAUCAGCACAUUUUGGACAGGGAUAAACGAUUCACAUGGAUAUUAAUUAAUCAGAUUAUGUCUUUGUCAUGCAUGACCAGAAGCAGGCAUGAAACUCAGCAGUUCAGACUGGGCUGUGAAUCAAGAUGCCCAGAUUAACUAGCCAAUGUAACAUGAACCAGCCUCAAGUUAUAGUCUCAUAGCUAGUGGCACUAAUAAUGAAAUACUGUAACGCAGCACAGACCAGCGCCACUUUAUUUCUGUGAGCUAGUGAGGGAGAAUACAAUAGGGAGAUGUAGAACCAUGUAAUUGAUAGUUAAUCUCUACAGCCUCAUAGUAAGACAUGAAUAUCCACUGUCAAAAGUAAAUGGGAUAAACAGCAAGCAUUAGCAAUGCAAAAAGCUGAGUGAUUUUUUUUUCUCAUUUUCAUGCUGGUUUCCAUCUUAAUUUUCAACGGUGGCAAAACAUAAAAAGGGCUAAUACUUUUUUAUGAUUUUCUAAAUGAAUUGUCCCAUUUCCCCCACCAGAUCUAUAGCAUUCUGUUCUCUAUGGUUUUUUUGUCUCGUUUAGCCUAUCUCUGUAGGAGCAUCAAGUGCUCUGUUAAUAUUUGAUUUCCACAGAGAGGGACUAUAUAGGUUAUAUCAUAAAGGAGAUUUCUGUGGACAGAUUUUUAAAUGUGAGCUUUUGGGCCAACAAAUCUGUUCCAAAUUAUGACAUAAAUAUUAUAGCUAGGUCUCAGUGUGAAAUCUAAUUGAGCUUUCAGUCCUUCAGAAAGAUGAAAAUAAAUACCCUGUGAUAUAUCCAUAAAGAAUAUAAUCAAGUUAGUUUCCUGAGAGACACUAAUGCUGAAUCUGCCUCUGGUUCCCAGGAAGGUCUCUCUAAAGCAUGCUGUGUGUAGAAGGGAAGCAGGCAGUGGUUGCUUUGUCAGUUGCUCUAGUUCCACUAGAAUGCAAUAUAACCCUUUCCCAUGUGGGUGACUUUCACUGUGCCACCAGAAUUUGUUGCAGAGGAAGGAAAAACUCAGCUGGCAGUCUGUCUGCAGUACUGCAAAUCCCUUUACCAGGGGUUGGUUAUGCCCAUUUCACAGGUGAGAAAUGAAGGUACAGAGAAAGGCUCAAAGUCUUGCAAGCUGUUGCUCAAGAAAUAAAGCACAGAUUCCCCUUUGCCACUGUAACUAAUGAAUCGCCUCCAUAUUUUUUUUAGUGAGAAACCAAGGAAUAAAAGUGUUUGUUUUCUUAUUCCCUAGGAAUAGUUGGAUCCAAUGCAAGUUUUGAGGUUUUGGUGGGGUUUUUUUAUGGAAGCUCUGUGAUUUUGCCUUAAAUAACAUUUUAAACCUCUUUUUAUGAGAGUGAAGUAUGUUUCUGGCAAGUGAAGAGAAAAGAAGAGAUAUCAGAUGGGAGCUUUGGGAAUUCAGCCUGUCUGGUCACAGCCAUGGUCCAGACAUCAGGGUCUGCAGAACAGGCCUUGGUUAUUUCCAGGAGGUGAGAGUCAGACGUGCUUGCUCUGAAUGACAUCUUGACUCAGCACAGUUUAUUUUAAGGGCUUAAACCAGAAAUAAAAUCCUCCUCUAUUUUUAAAAAUGUUCACACUUGAAGUUAUUCAGGAAUAGCUGAAUUUCACGCACUGAUUUAGCAGAAAAUAUCUCUUAGGGCAUCUUUGCUUCCUGUUCAUUAAAAGAACAGGAAACCUGCCUAGUAACUCAGAAUUAAAAGGUGUUUAUUUUAGAAAUACCAAUUGCUCACAGUAAGGCUGAGUUGAAUGACCUGUCUGUUUAGUCUACUGACUUUGGUAGUGCCUAGUGGUUCUGCAGUGAAGAUAAAUCUCUCUUUCCAAAUUACCAAGGAGAAACUGUUCAGUAUAUCAGAAAACUUCCCCUCAUCACCCACUGCUAAGUCGGCAGUCACUGUCACACUUAUUUUCCAAUUGUCAGCCUGCCCAGGUAUAUGCAUUAUGCAUCAUCGUAAGAUUGUUCAAACAUUUUUAAAAGCCAGCAGUAACUUUUGCCUUGGCAAUCUCUCCCGCGGUGAGCUCCCCUGGCUGGCUGGAACUCCUGGCAGCACGCUGCCCUUGGCAGAGGAGAGAUGCUUCCUCGCCACCAGACCCUCCAGCCCUCCCCCUGGUAUUCGGUACUUGCUGACACUAAUUGCAGACUAGGAGUCACUGACCAUGCAACUUAAAGAGCAGGCAGCUCAUCUCCCAUCUGGCUGCGUGACACCCCACUUGGAAAGAAAAACAGAGCAGGAUUUUGCUCAAAAAUGAAUGAAGCAAAACCCGGGAAAGGCCCAUCCUCAGCAUCCAGACCCAGACCUUCCUGCUCGGUGAGGUUAACCAGAGCCUGGGGUGUCUGGCCAGCCCCUCCUCCAGCCCCCGGCAAAACCAGCCCUCUGCAGAGCUGUGGGGAGAAGUAGCUCUGGAUGGCAGAAGAGAGCCCUUCUCCUGCCAGGGCCUCCUGCAGCUGGAAGCAGCAACCCCGGGGCUGCCUCUGUGCUGGGGGCCAGGCCUGAGCUGAUGCCACCACCUUGGCUGUCCUCAGCACAGAUCUCCUGCUUUUUCUCUAAAGCAGUCAUGGGCAGAAGCAAACACAUGUCCAGGUGUUGCUGCCUUGGGAAAACACUUGAGAAAGCUCCUUUGCUUCCCUGACUGAUGUUGGGUAUUUCUUCUUCCUUCAUUUCCUUCCCAGUCCCAAAGCAGGCUGUGCCGAGGAGGUAGAGCAUCGACAUGCUGCAUCCUGCCACUGAGCUCCCCACUUACCUCUCUGCUGUGGAGGUGCCCCGCAAACGCCAUAGCUCUGGAGGAGAAGCAGCAAAGAGAGCAAGGCAGAGAAAAUCCUGUCCAUGGCUGUGGAGGAGCUGGAGGCUGGAUGCAGAGUGGCAAGCAAGAGCUUUGGCCCGGAGCAUAGCAUUCAGGUCUGUACACACGAGGGAGAUGCAGCUCCUGCCACAAAAAGCUAAUAAACUAAAUCAACGAAUAAGACUGAUGAUGCUGCAAGUGGGCAGAAAUCCAAUGUUUUAUUUAUGGAAGAGAAGUAAGGAGAUUUAGUUCCAGAGUAAGAUGAAUUUAAUGAAUUUAAUGAAUCAUGACAAAGCAGUGCAUCUAUUUUCUUUUUUUUUUAACUACUGUAUUACACUAUCGUCCGUUGAUUAAAGCCCUUCUCCUCUGAUGGAUCAGUCUUUGCUUACCUUUCCAGCCACACACCCUCGGAGCACUCAUCCAUUUCAUCUGCAUUGUGUUGGUACAGCACCGUGGCAAACUACCUUUAAUUCAAAACCCAGUUUCUCUUCCCUUACCCAGAGUCACUCUUUACUCCAAACGUUCUUCAACAGAGACUGAGACCUCCUGUGGAGAAAGGGUCUUUGAUUACGGAAAAAAGGGCCUGUCCUCAGUGAAGUUACCAGACUAUUCUUAACUCUUUCAACAUUAAAACUAUUAAUUAAAAUAUUUAAAGAUGGCUGUGUUCUCAUGCAAAAUCAGCACGGAUUUGUCCUGCUGCUAUCUUCCCAAGUACACACCAUCAGUCACAGGCUUUCAACCAUCUCUGGAGCUAGCUGGAGAUUUUCUAGGCAUAAGGAGCAAAUGCUUCAGAUGAGCUUUUUUUGCUCCCAUUUUGCCUCUUUCUGUCAUUGAGGCCCGUUUCCAAGCUUUGUGGCACCUUCCUUUACUUGCCUGCUAUUUCAGAGCCCCUGGGAUUAAAAGGACGCUCAUGCAAGAUGUAAAAAUUGCAGAUUAUGAUCAUGGAGUAGUAUAGAAAACACACGCAGACCUUCAUGUGUACAUGUGCAUGCACAAAAAGCCGGGUAUAAAAACUUCAUGUAUAAAUGCUUAUGCCUAUGAACGGAUGCAUAAAUAUAUACACGUAUGACCAUACAUGCAUGUAUGUGUUUAGGUAUAUAAAUAUGUAUGUGUGCACAUAUAUACAGACACAAAACUCUUCUCCAUGCAUACUUUUCAUGGAUGUGUUUAUAUAUGCAUGGAUUUAGAUGAGUGCCACUAUGUAUAAAUACUAUUCACUAAUAUCCUCAUGUGCUUAUAUGCACACAGGUAUGUUUGCUCCCAAAAUAUAUAGAACAGCUACAGCCAUACAUUGACAACUGUUAAGGAACAAAGUGAGAUAGAAUCAUAACAUUUAGGAGAUUUUAUCUACAGCCCUGUCUACGAUGGGGUUUCUCCUGUUGCUCUGGCAUCAGUACAAGGAUCUACUGGUGCAGACAGUACUUGCUUGCUGUGAAUAGGGAUCAUUCAGAGCCCUCUGUAAAUAAAGACUCUAUGGCUGUUCUUGCUGAGGAAAAUAUAAAGUUUCUCUGUGUCAUUUUGCUGUUAAUUAGCAAAGAAAGAAAAAUAUAUUUCAGGUGAAUAUUUUUCACUAGCAGAGGUUGUGGCACACAAGCAACACUAAAGCUUUGAAAAUAAGGUGAGAGGCAAAGGAGUGCUGGCUACUAUAGGUCUGCAUUUAUACCUCUGUAAAAGCAAUGUUUACUUUUAAAAUAUGAAACAUAUUUUUUACCCAGGCCUCUGAAAAUGAAAACACUGAAUUCAAUAUUUCAAGAGGAAAAUAUGCAUUUAAAGCUCUUCCUGAGCCUGCUUGCAACGUAAACAGUCAAACCAUUAAUGGCUUAUGCUGGCCACAGAGCAGCCCUGCCAUUCUGUAGAGCCGCUUCAUGUGUAGCUUGUAGGCUUCAUGUGUCCUGGCACAAGGAAGGUCUGCCUCCCCCUCCAAGGCAUUCAUGUCCAUGUCUCCUUAGUAAAAAAAGUGCUUUUAAAUACCAGCUUCCCUCUUUCCUCCCACUGCUGGAUGGUCAGCAGAAGAUCCUGGUCCCUUGCUCCUCCUGAAAUCAAAUGCUUCAGACUGAUGGGAAAUUGUUGUGCAUAGCCAGGGAGGUUUUUUCUCCAAACAAUGGUCCCAUUGAAUUAUUAUCUGAGUGCAGAUGGAGAAGAAAAGGUAUGUAGAUGCUUUGUAUCAAGGCAAAGAAGGUGCCAGGGGAAGACAACACCUGAACCCAUAUGGGUUUUUCUGACUUGGGUUUGCACCCUGGUCCCUCGCUGUCCACAUGUCUGUUCAGAUUAUGACUGUUGCAUCAUUCUCAGGCUGGACAAGACAAAUAUUUUUUUUUUUUGAGAAAUCUCCAGUACAAAGUGGGAUUAUCUGCUGUGCUGAUACCAGCACUAUGGGUAAAAGCAUGUUGCUGAGCAUGCUACACGGCUGCAGCCUCAGCGCUCCUACCAGUGGGUGGGCAGAGGGGCUGGAGCUGCUGGGGCCAUCUUGUCCCCACUGGUGUGAGACCAUACUUGCUGAUGCCCAUUGUUGGAUUGCCAGCUCAGAUGGAUGAGCUUGGCUGAACUGAGCUUGGCUGUACUAAGCUUGUCUGCAGUGUUUGGAUGUCACAGCAUGGAUGAGCCAUGUUUAAUACCAUGGCAGUGUGAAGCUCACUGUUGGAGUGCUUAAACUGCUGGGAAACUUCAGCUGGAAAAUAAUAUUGUAAGUGUUUAAUGGGGCUGGAGAGCCUCGGCACUGCCCUACCAACUGACACAGCCUCAAUCCAGCCAAGGCUGCUACCUACAGGUGAAUGAGACUCCAUUAAAAUAAAUGCCUUUCCAUAGGCAGUAAGGUCCAGCAGAAGGCUCUAGUGGGAAGUCAGGACAUGCAGCUUGUCCUCCCCAACAUGACCAGUCAAGGAAGCAUCAUCCUCUGCUCCCAGGCAAGAGUGAGGUUUUCCUUUGCUGGCUGGUGACUGGAAGCUCUGUGUGAUGCCCCAUGCUUACUACUGCAAUGGUCACUGUGCUGCAUUCUCCUUUGAAUCCUUCCUUGUUUUUCUAAGAGCUUUUUCCUGGUUUGUAAAAUCCUGAUGGUAAAAUACCACUCUGAUGGGGGCCUUCAUUUUUUUGACUGUCAAAUCUGCCAGCUUUGGGAUGGGCCAGGAAAGAGCAAAGCCCAGUUUAAGAAUAAGCACUAUAAGUACUAAAAAGCAAGUGCAUACUGGUACAGGCAGCAUUGCAGCUGGGAGAGGUGGGAACUUCUCAUUUGUUAUAAGACAAGCAAGUCUGAUAGCAUAAACUGUAUAAAUGCAGAUUCUUUCUCUAUUCCUACAUGUGUAACAUUUCACAGGAACAUAGAUCAGAUGGGAAAAGCCCCCAAAAAUGACAUUUUAGUUUCAAUAAUGGCAGACAUGCUUUUUUUUGAUUUGGCAUUUUACUUUUUCAGUUUGUUUUGCUCAAGUUUUAUUUUAAAGCAGUGUUUUAAUUUUGUAUUUACAUAUUUCCAAUAAACAUACCAUUACUACAUUUAAUAUCUUAGUAAAAAUUUCACUCUGUAACAAGCCAAAAUGAGAAAAUCACAAUGAAUCAGUCCCUGAGGAGUUUCCAUGCAAAUGACCCAGAAGAAUGUGAAGGUUUUCUGUGGGAUAAAAGGACAUCAGACUUCAGGGAUCUCAAGACAUUUCCAAACUUCAAAUAGAGUUCAAGCAGAAGGCAUUUAAAAUAUUGGGGGUUUCUUUUUUAUUUAAAAAAAAAAAAGAAAAAGCACAGUGUUUGUAGCCCUGGCCCGUAUAUACUUCUUAGAAGGGAUCUGGAGAUGCAGCUAAGUCAUGCUAGUUGAAGCAGCAGGGCAAGAAGAGGGUUGGGAAGGGAUAAGAAGCCAAAUCCCAGGUAGUUUACUGUUGAUUUUUAUUUCAUUCUAAACAAACCUGUUAGUUGUACUAAACACAGCUUUCUUGCCCUCCAGCCACCACAAAACUCCAAGGUUUAGCAAAAUGCUCAGUAAUUUUUUUGGCUUUUUCAGGCUUUCUUUUAUGUUCCCAGGUGAGUGUUUCUGAGCUGGAUUCACAGCCUCCAUUUUUCAUAUACUCAGAGAAACGGUGGCAAAAGCUGCCAUUUAGUCAAAGCUCCAAUUCUUGUAUUUUAUCCCCACGGUGUUUCUAUUUCAGUUUGUUUCAGGGACUGGAGGAGUCCCUCCCAGCCUGCUUCGUUACCUGAAAGGAUAUUUACUGCACUGCCACUGUAUUGCAAAAGUGAUAUUUACAGCAGUGGGAUCAGGGAAAAGCAUAAAACAAAUGGUUUAAAGGGUGAAAGACUGGGGAGAAAUGAAUGUUUUUAAAUAUAACCCUUUUGAUAACUCAGGUUCAAAAGAACUGCUGUUUAUCCUUUAAGCUGCAAAUGGCUGGCAAAUAUCCUUGUGCUCUGAUACUGUAAAUAGUAAAUGCUGUUUAUGGCUAGUCAAUGUUUAUGUAUUUUAUGGGUCACAUUUAUUUCAGAGGGAUCAUUUUUUAUUUGCUGUGUUAACCUUGCCCACAUCUUCCCCCUGGGACCAAGUUGCCUCCUGGGCUCUGUUCCUGGCUCUCCCGCUGACCACCUGCAAAACUUUGGGCAGCUCGUGUCCUCCCUCUGUGCCUUGACUUCUCCAGCUGGACAGUGCCACCGACAGCACUGACCUGGCCCAGAAGUCCCUAAGGGUAUCUCUGCCCUACUAAAUGGCUUGAAUGAAACAGUACUAUAAGACUUACUUGCAAAGAUGAAGGUCACCGUGCAGGCAGCUCUUUAUCUUUAAGGUGAAUGAGCCAAGAUACCGGCUGGGUCAAGCCAAGCUGUACAAGAAGACAUCCUACCAAGGUAGGAAGAUGUGGGAAUACAGAUCAUCCAAGAAGAGCAACAUCCUUGCAAAAUAACUUUCAUGAACAGAAAUGUUACAAAAAUCCUGUGGGCAGACACAUGGAUGAGAGAGAUCCUCAGCUGGAGUCCAUGGGGGAGGUUGGCCUGACGGAUGAACGCACAGACAGAAAGCCAACAGCAGCAAAAGAAUUUGGACUGAUGCAUGACCACAGUGCCAGUUUCUGUCAUUCUGGGCCUACCACUGGGGACAGCAGUUGCAGCAACUUCAUUCAACUGAUACAAGUGAGUAAUUAUCUUAAUGAACUGUCUGCAGGCAAGCUGAAGUGAAGCCUGUUUUUUUUUAUGUUUGAUUUAUGCAGUUAUAAAGGUACCUGUCCCAGGCGCUAGGGUCUGAAUCCUGGAAGGUUUAUAGGUGUCAUUCAAAUCAGCAGGAACCAAGGCAGCAAGAAAACCAAGAAGGGCAGUGCGGUCCCUGUGGUGCAGGACAGUCUGCAGUGACAGACUCCUGGAGAAAUGCUACAUAUCCAUCACCCGGGAUUCCCUCUGCCGCUACAGGGCAGUCAGCGCACUGGCUUACAUCAACUCUAGGAGAUACCAGGGAAUGCUGCCAAGCUGCUGUCUUUGCCCUCUUCAAGGUCUAUUUAUACCCACUCACGGGCAUCAGAAUACCCUUGAGAUAGGAGAGACCUUUCCAUCACAGUGGACGCUAUGAGUUGACCUGCCUGGGUUUGAGCACAGCUGUUCCUAUUGCAUUAUGCAUUAUUUUUGCCAAGUCACUAGCAGCUCCAUCAUGCUUCUGGAUGCCAUUUCAAGGUCUGAUAGAAGUCAGCACCAGAAAAAUGCUUCUGACACUCUGCAGGCUUUACUGACACUGUAUUUUCUGCCAUCUUUGGUGCUGUUUAACAUCCAGGAGGAUUUGUAGAAUCCAAAGUUUUACUGAGUUUUGACGUCAAAGAGCCUCUCACAAAAUUGUGUGGCCUGAAUUUAUUGCUGGAGCAACCUGUGCUGGUUACCUUCACCAGAAAUCAUGUCCCAUCAGUGGACAGGUUGAUGAAAUGUUUACCUAAAAGGCUGUGAGAGGCGCGUGGGAGCACUGCCGGUACAUGACUGGUGUUUGCAGCAUUGUCUCGUUGGGAGCAGCCAAAGGCUGAGGGAAGAAGCCUUGAGGAGGUCUGUCUGGUGCCAAUAAAACAAAACACUUCUGCAAUGGCAUAGAAUAUAACUCCAGCCAUGAGGACUACCUGCCGGUCUCUAGGGUCUUGCUUAGACCUUUAGUAGCUCUCUUGCAGUCUUGGGAACUGAGCCUGGUUUUGAGAGCAGACCAGAAUCUUCAUCACACAUUCUGCAGUGUCCCUCCCUCCUCUGACUGGCUUCAUGAUAUUCCAUGAAUUCUUUUCCUUUCCUUCAUACCUCAAUUUCCCUUUCUGUGGAACAGGGAGACCAGUGUUUUCUUGUUUCUUUUUCAGAGCAGAGAGAGAGGUAUGUCUUCUCCACUUGAAAGCCCUGGCACCAGAAUGCCUAAAAAAGAACAAGGCACCAAACAAAGCAGAAACUCUGAAGCAACACACAGACACUCAAAGCAAAAAGUCUUUUUUUCCACUGGAGCUUUUGCUCUGUGUCAGAUGGGGGAGAAAAGGCACAGUCAGUCAGGUAAUCUAAUGGCCAUCUCUGGAGCCCUGGAGCACCUCCACCACCAUGAGAUGCUGCUGCUAAGGUGGUCAGGUCCCUCUAACAUAUCUGUUCUGCCAGUGCUGAGAUCAUCAGCUCAAUCUACUUUCUAUGUCAAAGAAUUGCUGCUCAUCUCUGCUGCAUUGGGAAAGAGCAGCAAUGUAUGCAGCAGCAUUAAGCAUACGUGUGAACUGGUUCUCAGCCUGCGUUGGAGAGACUUAAAUUAGUAAAUCAGUUUAGAGAAGAAAAAACAGUAUAACAGUUGCAUAUUACAAAGAGUCUUUAUCAGUCUCAAAACCAGCAUUGAUAGCACCACCGUCUGACUUACUAACAGGCUUGGGACAGCUUGUGUUCAGUUUGUGUUGGCUAAAUUAUCUAACAUUUCAGCAAACCAAACCCACUUCCUGUCUAGGACUCAGCCCCUGACCUGGCAGGAAGCUCACAAUAAAUCUAUACAUUUUAUCAGAUUUCAGGGGGGAUGUGAGCCAGACAUUCACAGGGAACUAUUCCGAGCUCUGGAGAGAAAACACUGCGUGAAGCAGAAGGGUCUUCUGGCUUGCUAAGAGCCUUGAAACAUCAGGAUCAUUUAGAAGAUCAGGUGUGUGCCCAAAGGCUCGACUCUUCAUACACAUUGAAACAAACCCUGUCUCUGCAAGAAAUUCGUUGAACAUACUUUAGCUACUUCAGCUGUAUUAUCAGAGUCAAUUAAACCAAGAAGCUUAGGGGUUGUUUAACCCUGCUGCAGUAACGAAAUAGCCAAGAACAUUAUUAACGGGAAUUUAAUUGGAGGUAGAAUUUGAACUAUUUAAAGAGAUGGAAAAGGAUUUUUAACACAAUGUAGUUGGAUCACAUUGAGGAGCUCUCUUCAGGUUUAGAAGCCAAGUGAAACGUUAGCAUUUCUCUGAAUGAUGUUUUGGGCAGACGGGGUUAACAGGGUGUUGGUCAAUGUUGGCCCGCAGAAGGCACCCCAGUGCUGUGAUGGCUGUCACACACAAUCUCAGCAACUACAGACUCUGAAGAGGAAUCUUAAAGGAAGGACUGUGCUUUCAGAUACCUCCCUAAACAAACAAGGAGAGAAGCUCCACCCAAGCGUCCCAUCUCCAGACCUGGCUUUAAGUACUGCAACCAAGGGAGGCAGGUAGCUGGUAAGAAAUGAGAAGCAGAAAAUUUCAGCAUCCAGCCUGGUCCUGAAAAGGGCUGGCAGGUGAUUUCUGGAAGGUUCUAUAGGCUAUUGUUUAUUUUGUUUCAAAGAUAAUGGUUUAUCUCUCCACUUAAUUAAGAAAGAGACUGGGCUGGUCCUUGAUGCAGGAAGCUGGGCUCUUCACAUGCUUCUGCAAGGUUGUCUGCUUGAACAUUGGGUUGUCUCUUGCUCUUUGAUCAAUUAAAUAAUUGCCAGAUUUAAGGCCAGAAAAAUUCUUUUCUGCUUGAACAAUUUGAGGGGUUUGCACUCUUAUGAGUGAUUUUAACCAUGUUUAAAAGUACUAGAGGCAUUAAGAAGUUAUUCUGGUAUACCCUUCCAGACUUUUUGUCUGUUGUUGAGUAUCCUGGUCCCCAGCACGAGGGAGAUGAAGCAUAGAGAAAGGGAAUCAUCACCCCUAUUCAAUGAUGAGAAAACAAACUCAAAAGUGUACAAACAACAUCAUUAUCUUCAUCCCCAUAUACAUAAAUACAUAUCCAAUGAAAAAAGCAUGAAGCAGCACUGACAUUUCUUAUUUAUACUUUGGCAGAUCUUCCCUUGAAGCUGGUUGUUGUGUUCUGUUCCAGAGCAGAAAAAGACCCCAGCCUGUGGUCCACACUGUAGAUGAUGCUGGAAUCAUCAUUACUGAGCAAAUUACACUUCCAUACCAAGUUGUUUUAAAAAGCAGGCAACAAUCCAAAAAAGUAAGCAGCUGUUAAAUUCCAGAUCCCUUUCAUCUGUCAUCAGAAAUACUAUUCACUAACAUCUACAGAGACUGACCUGUGCAAUCAGAGGCAGCAGCGUGCGUGCCACGGAAAGCAGGAUAUUUAUUGCUGGUGAUAAUGUAUGAGAGGAAGGAAAAGGCAAUUUCGUCUGAAAAUAUAGGUAGAUUGACUGUUAGAAAUACCAUCUUUUCCUUUGCGAUCAGUACACACAUAAGAUAAUGUCAGCCUAAGGCCAAAGUACCAUUUUUGCUAACUAAUUUUUUAGAAAGUAAACUAUUCCUUCAUUGUGAUAUACUUCAGACAGCAAGUACAACAUCAUUCCGAAACCAGACAGCAAAGUAUUGAAGCCAUUUUUUUAAUUGAACCUAAUCAAGUCACACUAAAAGCACAAAAAAAAAAAAAAAGCCAACAGGUAUAAAAUGGCAGAGCAAUACUGUGACAAUUCCAGCAUGUUGUAUAUUCUGGAGUACACACUAAUAAUCA